rnacentral:rRNA from 1 species
UACGGAGGGGGCUAGCGUUGUUCGGAAUUACUGGGCGUAAAGCGCACGUAGGCGGCUUUGUAAGUUAGAGGUGAAAGCCCGGGGCUCAACUCCGGAAUUGCCUUUAAGACUGCAUCGCUAGAAUUGUGGAGAGGUAAGUGGAAUUCCGAGUGUAGAGGUGAAAUUCGUAGAUAUUCGGAAGAACACCAGUGGCGAAGGCGGCCAACUGGUCCGGCACUGACGCUGAGGUGCGAAAGCGUGGGGAGCAAACAGG